rnacentral:rRNA from 1 species
GACGAACGCUGGCGGCGUGCUUAACACAUGCAAGUCGAACGGAAAGGCCCUGCUUUUGUGGGGUGCUCGAGUGGCGAACGGGUGAGUAACACGUGAGUAACCUGCCCUUGACUUUGGGAUAACUUCAGGAAACUGGGGCUAAUACCGGAUAGGAGCUCCUGCUGCAUGGUGGGGGUUGGAAAUUUUCGGCGGUUGGGGAUGGACUCGCGGCUUAUCAGCUUGUUGGUGGGGUAGUGGCUUACCAAGGCUUUGACGGGUAGCCGGCCUGAGAGGGUGACCGGCCACAUUGGGACUGAGAUACGGACCAGACUCCUACGGGAGGCAGCAGGGGGGAAUAUUGCACAAUGGGCGGAAGCCUGAUGCAGCAACGCCGCGUGCGGGAUGACGGCCUUCGGGUUGUAAACCGCUUUCGCCUGUGACGAAGCGUGAGUGACGGUAAUGGGUAAAGAAGCACCGGCUAACUACGUG